rnacentral:rRNA from 1 species
GCCCCUCCGUAGCGGCGAGUGAGCGGCAAAGCUCAAUUUGAAUCUGGCGUCUUUGGCGUCCGAGUUGUAAUUUGAAGAAGGUAUCUUUGGGCCCGGCUCUUGUCUAUGUUCCUUGGAACAGGACGUCACAGAGGGUGAGAAUCCCGUGCGAUGAGAUGACCCGGGUCUGUGUAAAGUUCCUUCGACGAGUCGAGUUGUUUGGGAAUGCAGCUCUAAGUGGGUGGUAAAUUCCAUCUAAAGCUAAAUAUUGGCGAGAGACCGAUAGCGAACAAGUACAGUGAUGGAAAGAUGAAAAGAACUUUGAAAAGAGAGUGAAAAAGUACGUGAAAUUGUUGAAAGGGAAGGGCUUGAGAUCAGACUUGGUAUUUUGCAUGUUGCUCUCUCGGGGGCGGCCGCUGCGGUUUACCGGGCCAGCAUCGGUUUGGAGCGGCAGGAUAAUGGCGGAGGAAUGUGG